AACGAACGCUGUGGGCAGGCCUAACACAUACAAGUCGAGCGGUAACAGGAAGCAGCUUGCUGCUUCGCUGACGAGUGGCGGACGGGUGAGUAAUGUCUGGGAAACUGCCUGAUGGAGGGGGAUAACUACUGGAAACGGUAGCUAAUACCGCAUAACGUCGCAAGACCAAAGAGGGGGACCUUCGGGCCUCUUGCCAUCAGAUGUGCCCAGAUGGGAUUAGCUAGUAGGUGGGGUAACGGCUCACCUAGGCGACGAUCCCUAGCUGGUCUGAGAGGAUGACCAGCCACACUGGAACUGAGACACGGUCCACACUCCUACGGGAGGCAGCAGUGGGGAAUAUUGCACAAUGGGCGCAAGCCUGAUGCAGCCAUGCCGCGUGUAUGAAGAAGGCCUUCGGGUUGUAAAGUACUUUCAGCGGGGAGGAAGGCGAUGCGGUUAAUAACCGCGUCGAUUGACGUUACCCGCAGAAGAAGCACCGGCUAACUCCGUGCCAGCAGCCGCGGUAAUACGGAGGGUGCAAGCGUUAAUCGGAAUUACUGGGCGUAAAACGCACGCAGGGCGGCUGUCAAGUCGGAUGUGAAAUCCC
rnacentral:rRNA from 1 species